GAGCUCAUUUUUAGCAGCACAUAUACUAAGAUCAGAAUGAUUCAGAGGUUAGCAUGGCUCCUGUGUGAGAAUGAUACACAAAUUCAUGAACUGUUCCACAUUUUU
ensembl:snRNA U6 U6 spliceosomal RNA